GAUGAACGCUGGCGGCGUGCCUAAUACAUGCAAGUCGAGCGAACAGACGAGGAGCUUGCUCCUCUGACGUUAGCGGCGGACGGGUGAGUAACACGUGGAUAACCUACCUAUAAGACUGGGAUAACUUCGGGAAACCGGAGCUAAUACCGGAUAAUAUAUUGAACCGCAUGGUUCAAUAGUGAAAGACGGUUUUGCUGUCACUUAUAGAUGGAUCCGCGCCGCAUUAGCUAGUUGGUAAGGUAACGGCUUACCAAGGCAACGAUGCGUAGCCGACCUGAGAGGGUGAUCGGCCACACUGGAACUGAGACACGGUCCAGACUCCUACAGGAGGCAGCAGUAGGGAAUCUUCCGCAAUGGGCGAAAGCCUGACGGAGCAACGCCGCGUGAGUGAUGAAGGUCUUCGGAUCGUAAAACUCUGUUAUUAGGGAAGAACAAAUGUGUAAGUAACUAUGCACGUCUUGACGGUACCUAAUCAGAAAGCCACGGCUAACUACGU
rnacentral:rRNA from 1 species